rnacentral:rRNA from 1 species
CAGCCGCCACGGUAAUACGGAGGAUCCGAGCGUUAUCCGGAAUUAUUGGGUUUAAAGGGUGCGUAGGCGGAUAGAUAAGUCAGUGGUGAAAGACGGUGGCUCAACCAUCGCAGUGCCGUUGAUACUGUUUAUCUUGAAUAUGGAUGAGGUAGGCGGAAUGUGGCAAGUAGCGGUGAAAUGCAUAGAUAUGCCACAGAACACCGAUUGCGAAGGCAGCUUACCAAGGCAAAAUUGACGCUGAGGCACGAAAGCGUGGGGAUCGAACAGGAUUAGAUACCCCCGUAGUCCCUGUCUCUUAUAC